rnacentral:rRNA from 1 species
CAGCCGCCGCGGGAAUACGUAGGGUGCAAGCGUUGAUCGGAAUUACUGGGCGUAAAGCGUGCGCAGGCGGUUAUAUAAGUCAGAUGUGAAAUCCCCGGGCUCAACCUGGGAACUGCAUUUGAGACUGUAUGGCUAGAGUGUGUCAGAGGGGGGUAGAAUUCCACGUGUAGCAGUGAAAUGCGUAGAUAUGUGGAGGAAUAUCGAUGGCGAAGGCAGCCCCCUGGGAUAACACUGACGCUCAUGCACGAAAGCGUGGGGAGCAAACAGGAUUAGAUACCCCUGUAGUCCCUGUCUCUUAUAC